CCUACGGGUGGCAGCAGUGGAGAAUAUUGCACAAUGUGGGAAACCCUGAUGCAGCGACGCCGCGUGAAGGAAGAAGUAUUUCGGUAUGUAAACUUCUAUCAGCAGGGAAGAAAAUGACGGUACCUGAGUAAGAAGCCCCGGCUAACUACGUGCCAGCAGCCGCGGUAAUACGUAGGGGGCAAGCGUUAUCCGGAUUUACUGGGUGUAAAGGGAGCGUAGACGGCAGUGCAAGUCUGGAGUGAAAGGCGGGGGCUCAACCCCCGGACUGCUCUGGAAACUGUACGGCUGGAGUGCAGGAGAGGUAAGUGGAAUUCCUAGUGUAGCGGUGAAAUGCGUAGAUAUUAGGAGGAACACCAGUGGCGAAGGCGGCUUACUGGACUGUAACUGACGUUGAGGCUCGAAAGCGUGGGGAGCAAACAGGAUUAGAUACCCGUGUAGUC
rnacentral:rRNA from 1 species